AAGUCGUAACAAGGUUUCCGUAGGUGAACCUGCGGAAGGAUCAUUAAUCGAAUGAACGUGUUUCUCAGCAUGAAAUUUCGAAUCCCACCUGUGUACCUUACCUGUUGCUUCCGUGCCGCACAUGCCUGCGAAGGGGUGCCUCCUGGUCCGGAAUACCGCGUACUGUGGUGCGUGCGGGCCCUGGGGGAGUCGGACACGAGAGGUCAACCGUGAAAACUUCUUGCCUUUGAAUGUCUUCUGUCUGAACUGUAUUACGUGAAAAGUUAAAACUUUCAACAACGGAUCUCUUGGUUCUCGCAUCGAUGAAGAACGCAGCGAAAUGCGAUAAGUAGUGUGAAUUGCAGAAUUCCGUGAAUCAUCGAAUCUUUGAACGCACAUUGCGCCUCCUGGUAUUCCGGGAGGCAUGCCUGUUCGAGCGUCACUAAAAUCAACUCGAGCACUUUCUGCACGGUCAUGGAGGAAGAGUCCGUCUUGUUGCGGUCUCCCCCCCGAAAAUCAACGGCGGAAAGUCACUGGCACCUGGCGUAGUAGUAUUGUUUCGCUGGCCAACCAGAGUCGUUCCCGCCGGCAAACCCCCCCACAAUUCUCUUGAUUGACCUC
rnacentral:rRNA from 1 species